AAUACCCGCUGAACUUAAGCAUAUCAAUAAGCGGAGGAAAAGAAACCAACAGGGAUUGCCCUAGUAACGGCGAGUGAAGCGGCAACAGCUCAAAUUUGAAAUCUGGCCUCGGCCCGAGUUGUAAUUUGCAGAGGAUGUUUCUGGCGCGGUGCCUUCCGAGUUCCCUGGAACGGGACGCCACAGAGGGUGAGAGCCCCGUAUGGUUGGACACCAAGCCUGUGUGAAACUCCUUCGACGAGUCGAGUAGUUUGGGAAUGCUGCUCUAAAUGGGAGGUAAAUCUCUUCUAAAGCUAAAUACCGGCCAGAGACCGAUAGCGCACAAGUAGAGUGAUCGAAAGAUGAAAAGCACCUUGAAAAGGGGGUUAAACAGUACGUGAAAUUGUUGAAAGGGAAGCGCUCAUGACCAGACUUGUGCCGGGCGGUUCAUCCGGGGUUCUCCCCGGUGCACUCCGCCCGGUUCAGGCCAGCAUCGGUUCUCGUUGGGGGAUAAGAACGGUAGGAACGUGGCCCUCCCUCGGGAGGGUGUUAUAGCCUGCCGUACGAUACCCUGACGGGGACCGAGGUUCGCGCUCCGCAAGGAUGCUGGCGUAAUGGUCAUCAGCGACCCGUCUUGAAACACGGACCAAGGAGUCGUCCAUUAGAGCGAGCGUUUGGGUGUAAAACCCGCACGCGUAAUGAAAGUGAAAUUAGGUGAGAGCUUCGGCGCAUCAUCGACCGAUCCUGAUGUUCUCGGAUGGAUUUGAGUAAGAGUUUUAACGGACGGACCCGAAAGACAGUGAACUAUGCUUGUAUAGGGUGAAGCCAGAGGAAACUCUGGUGGAGGCUCGCAGCGGUUCUGACGUGCAAAUCGAUCGUCAAAUAUGAGCAUGGGGGCGAAAGACUAAUCGAACUGUCUAGUAGCUGGUUACCGCCGA
rnacentral:rRNA from 1 species